rnacentral:rRNA from 1 species
GAUGAACGCUGGCGGCGUGCCUAAUACAUGCAAGUCGAGCGAACAGAUAAGGAGCUUGUUCCUUUGACGUUAGCGGCGGACGGGUGAGUAACACGUGGAUAACCUACCUAUAAGACUGGGAUAACUUCGGGAAACCGGAGCUAAUACCGGAUAACAUAUUGAACCGCAUGGUUCAAUAGUGAAAGGCGGCUUUGCUGUCACUUAUAGAUGGAUCCGCGCCGUAUUAGCUAGGUGGUAAGGUAACGGCUUACCAAGGCAACGAUACGUAGCCGACCUGAGAGGGUGAUCGGCCACACUGGAACUGAGACACGGUCCAGACUCCUACGGGAGGCAGCAGUAGGGAAUCUUCCGCAAUGGGCGAAAGCCUGACGGAGCAACGCCGCGUGAGUGAUGAAGGUCUUCGGAUCGUAAAACUCUGUUAUCAGGGAAGAACAAAUGUGUAAGUAACUGUGCACAUCUUGACGGUACCUGAUCAGAAAGCCACGGCUAACUACGUG